rnacentral:rRNA from 1 species
AGCAGCCGCGGUAAUUCCAGCUCCAAUAGCGUAUAUUAAAGUUGUUGCAGUUAAAAAGCUCGUAGUUGAAUUUCGGGGUUAGUAGGUUGGUCGUGCCAAUGGUAUGCACUGGCCUCACUGAUUCCUCCUUCUUGAUGAACCUUAAUGCCAUUAAUUUGGUGUUUUGGGGAAUCUGGACUGUUACUUUGAAAAAAUUAGAGUGUUUAAAGCAAGCUAACGCUUGAAUACAUUAGCAUGGAAUAAUGAAAUAGGACGUUCGGUCUUAUUUUGUUGGUUUCUAGGAUCGACGUAAUGAUUAAUAGGGAUAGUUGGGGGCAUUAGUAUUCAAUUGUCAGAGGUGAAAUUCUUGGAUUUAUUGAAGACUAACUACUGCGAAAGCAUUUGCCAAGGAUGUUUUCAUUAAUCAAGAACGAAAGUUAGGGGAUCGAAGACGAUCAGAUACCGUCGUAGUCUUAACCAUAACUAUGCCGACUAGGGAUCGGAUGAUGUUAAUUUUUAAUGACUCAUUCGGCGCCUUACG